ACGUAUAAGCACUGGUUCCUCUAUGAUCACUGAAUUUAAGCAACACCAAGCCUAGUCAGUACCUAGAUGGGUGACCACUUGGGAGUACCAGGUGUU